UGUUUGCACUUAGCGGGAAGGGUAAGAACCUUCGACUAAGGUUCGACUCGAGCGCCAGCGAGAGAACGUUGCCGCAGGCAACGGCCCGAAGGGCGAGGAGAGAUAGCGACGAAUUAUCCUUUCCCCACCACCA
rnacentral:sRNA from 1 species